GUUUUGGAUUUUAAGGAAUCAAACAAAGAUUAUAAAUCAAGAGUAGUUUCAUUUCUUUUUUCUCUUUCUUCUCUCUUCCCUCCCUUUUUUAAAGCAAUAAAUGUUUAAAUGAUUUUAUUAAAUUUUAACUCCUCCCUCACAAGAAAAAAAUAUAAAUAAAUAAAAUAAAAAUAAAUAAAUAAAUAACUAAGAUAAGCUUUAAAACACACUGAAAGUAAUUAAGAAAUAAGAAAGCCAAAAAAAAAAAAAAAAAAAAAAAGAAGGAAAUUUAUGAAUAUAUAAAUAAAUAUCAGGAAAUACCAAUGUAAAGAGGUAAAUAGAAAAAAGAAAUGAGAACCACUUGCAUUCACUUUCACUUUCUCUCAGUCUCUCAUACACACAUACAAUUCUUACUUACAUACACACAUACAUUACUUAAUUAUGUACAUAAUUAUUGUUUACAAUUAUAUGCAUCAAAGAAUAAACAAAAUCUAAUCAAAAAAUUUGCUCACAGAUUAAUAUCAUACUCUAUGGUGGAAAUAUAUAUUGUAAUGGGGUCCAAAAUUUUUCAUAUACAUCAACAUUAUUAUUUUUCUUUGCAAUAUAAUAUUCAUAUGACUGAUAUUGUUUUAUUCUAUUUUUAAAACCAAAAAUAUUAGGAGUAAGUUCCUUAAACUUACAUUUAUAUAUAUAAUUUUUUGCUACUAUAAAUAAAAGAUUCAUGAAUAAGCUUUCUGAAUAGAAACCAAGGAAUAUCUGCUUUUUACUGAUGGCAAAAUCCCUGCUAUACAAUCUUAUUUGCUGUAAUAAUGAUGACCAAAAUUGAUAUGUUAUUGGACAAUCAUAGAAAAAAUGUACAAUAGUUUCGUCAUCAAGUUUACAAAAAGUACAUGAACUAGAAUCUUUCUUCUUUAUCUUGUACAAAAAAGAGUUUGUAGGAAUUAUUUGG
rnacentral:lncRNA from 1 species